rfam:Aedes aegypti strain Liverpool cont1.30191, whole genome shotgun sequence.
GCCGCUGGAGCCGUGAGCCGUGCCUUUUGGAGAUGGCCACACAAUUAUUGGCAACCCGAGCCGAUGGGAAUUCCUCCGUUCUUCCGGGCCAUCGUCGGCGGAAUGGCGUUCUUCUAUGCCAACUACGGCAAACUGAAGCACCACAGGAACUACAA